rnacentral:misc_RNA from 1 species
UUUUUUUUUUCCCUUAAUAUAUUUGAGCAACAUUGUUUUGGAUUGUGAAGGUUUGAUGUAGAUUGAGGGCUACAAUGACUAAUAUUAAAUUCUAUUCAAGUGAUGGUAUGGACCAAUAAUUUGGUUGUCUAGUUCUGUUUAUGCGAUGUCUCUAUUUUGAGCUCAACCCUUGGAAUUGUUUAUCUCAAUUCUCAUUCAUAAUAACAUCUUUUUGAAGCAAAAGUGUUCAAUUUCCAUUAGUUUGUUGGAUAAUUGUUUUAUUUUUGGGUUUCCUUUUUAUGCAAGUUUGAGCUGAUUACAAAACUUCCCUUUUGUAAAUUAGAUGUAUGAUUUUUUUUUUCUUAUGGUGG